rnacentral:rRNA from 1 species
UACAGAGGUCUCAAGCGUUGUUCGAUCAUUGGUGCGUAAAGGGUGCGUAGGCGGCGCGGUAAGUCGGGUGUGAAAUCUUGGAGCUUAACUCCGAAACUGCAUUCGAUACUGCCGUGCUUGAGGACUGGAGAGGAGACUGGAAUUUACGGUGUAGCGGUGAAAUGCGUAGAUAUCGUAAGGAAGACCAGUGGCGAAGGCGGAUCUCUGGACAGCUCCUGACGCUGAGGCGCGAAGGCUAGGGGAGCAAACGGG